rnacentral:pre_miRNA from 1 species
GCUUUUCUGUUGCUUGGACAGUCAAUGUCAGAUGAUAAGAGCGGGUAGCUGGAGGCA